GGGGCAGGCCCAGAAUGGCAAAACGGUAAGUGCUGCGUAAUGCAAUACUUCCAAUGCUCUGACGCUUUGACUGGGGGUCAAGAGGUCGCUGGUUCAAAUCCAGUCGCCCCG
rnacentral:tRNA from 1 species